AGAGUUUGAUCCUGGCUCAGGAAGAACGCUAGCGGCAGGCCUAAUACAUGCAAGUCGAACGGUGAUAGCAAUAUCAUAGUGGCGCACGGGUGCGUAACACGUAUGCAACCUACCUUAUACUGAGGGAUAGCCUUUCGAAAGGGAGAUUAAUACCUCAUAACACAUUGAACUGGCAUCAGUUUAUUGUUAAAGAUUUAUUGGUAUAAGAUGGGCAUGCGUCCAAUUAGUUAGUUGGCGAGGUAACGGCUCACCAAGACGAUGAUUGGUAGGGGAACUGAGAGGUUAAUCCCCCACACUGGCACUGAGAUACGGGCCAGACUCCUACGGGAGGCAGCAGUAGGGAAUAUUGGGCAAUGGAGGCAACUCUGACCCAGCCAUGCCGCGUGCAGGAAGAAGGCGUUAUGCGUUGUAAACUGCUUUUAUAUAGGAAGAAAUAGACCUUGCGAGGUAAGUUGACGGUACUAUAUGAAUAAGCACCGGCUAACUCCGUGCCAGCAGCCGCGGUAAUACGGAGGGUGCAAGCGUUGUCCGGAUUUAUUGGGUUUAAAGGGUGCGUAGGCGGUCUAUUAAGUCAGUGGUGAAAGGCGGUCGCUCAACGAUUGCAGUGCCAUUGAUACUGGUAGACUUGAGUGGGAUUGAGGUAGCUGGA
rnacentral:rRNA from 1 species